rnacentral:misc_RNA from 1 species
GAUGAAGAACGUAGCGAAAUGCGAUAAGUAAUGUGAAUUGCAGAAUUCAGUGAAUCAUCGAAUCUUUGAACGCACAUUGCGCCCGCUAGUAUUCUGGCGGGCAUGCCUGUCCGAGCGUCAUUUCAACCCUUAAGCUUAGCUUAGUAUUGGGAAUCUGCUUAACCGCAGCUCCUUAAAUCUAGUUGGCAGAGCACAGCUGUACUCUGAGCGUAGUAAUUCAUUAUCUCGCUUUCUGAAGACAGUCGUACGAUAGCCACAAACUUGCAUCUUGCAAACUUUUUAAUGGUUGACCUCGGAUCAGGUAGGAAUACCCGCUGAACUUAAGCAUAUCAAUAAGCGGAGGA